AAGUCUCUCACUUAUGUUACCACACAAGAGAGAGGGGGAGAGAGAUAGUCACUACAGUAAUCGCUUGCUGGGAAACUGAUAAACAAACUACCUGUAUGUAAACAAUUCCAGUAUAAUCUAUAUAGGUUUGGAUCUAGAUCUAAUGAAGUCAGCCAUCUAGCAUUUCCACCUCAUUAUUAAAUAUUUAGAAGGAAGCCGUUUUAAAGCUUAACAAUUCAUGUUGAUUGAAUCAAAUUUAAAAACAAAGCUGUUCUUCACACUUAAAGAUGAUGCAAACUGAGAUAUUACAGAAACCUUUAAAAGGCUGCCCGAACUUUCCAAGGGAAAUAAAACUUAACAAUCAUAAUGAUUCCUCAUUAAUGAUUGAUGACACAGACACUGGCAAUGACACAGAUCGUCGGAUUAAUCCUACUACCAAUGGGCCAGUGAGUAAAGAUGUCAUUACAGAUGAAAUGGUGCGAAAUAAAGCCUUUCGGUGGUGUCAAGACUCCAUAGGAGGUGCUUGGCUUCACUUGACUUCAGAGAAAGAUCUACAGAUUGAACCUGUUGGAGGGGGUAUGUCCAACUAUUUGUACCUUAUUACCCUACCUAAAGGCAAGCAUAGUUCAAGGGGGGAGCCUGAACAAGUGUUGCUGCGUAUCUAUGGCCAGAUUAGUAAAUCAACUUUAGACUUUUUAGUGCACAACUCUGUAGUCUUUGCCUUGCUGGCGGAAAGAAAGUUGGGACCCAAACCUUACGGCAUGUAUCAUGAUGGAAGGAUUGAAGAGUUUAUUAAGGCCAAACCACUGAAACCUGAAGAUCUUUGCAAGCCAGAGGUGAUGGUCAUGGUAGCGGAGAAGCUUGCUCAGUUCCACAGUCUGGAUAUGCCACUUUGUAAGAAACCAAGAUGGUUUAAGAGUCUUGUCAGAGGCUGGAUAAGAGAUAUUCAAAACAAUCUUGAUUCCAACAGUGUGACAAUGUCUCGCCUUCAAGAAAAAUGUCCUUUGUUUAACAUGGAUACAGAAUUUAAUGAGUUAUUAAAAAUGGCCAAUGAUCUAAAUUGUCCAAUAGUUUUCUGUCACAAUGAUUUACAAGGAGGAAACAUUUUACUUGCUGACAAAGCCACUCCUCAAACACCACGAAUGACUAUUAUAGACUGGGAAUAUGGACACUAUAACUAUCGGGGCUUUGAUCUUGGUAAUCACUUCAAUGAGUGGAUGUUUGAUUAUACUAUGACUGACAAGCCUGGAUUUUCUUUUGUUUGCUCAAAUUUCCCAUCCAAAGAGAAACAGUUCCAGUUUUUCAAAACAUACCUUAAAGCUUCAGGAAAGGAAGAAAUCACUCCUACAGACUUGGUGAACAUAUAUAUAGAGACCAAUACUUUAGCUCUACAUUCCCAUUUUACUUGGGGAGUAUGGGCUAUGGUACAGGCUCAGACUUCAAGCAUUGACUUUGAUUAUUCUGGUCAGAACUAGUACAGCUUAAAAUAAGUCAGCCUAGAACUUAGAAGAAUCUACUUUAUUUUCUUGAAGGAAAAGGAUAGAAGAAUAUGCACUGACAAGGUUUGAUAGCUACUUCAAAUUGAAGAAAUGCUUACCGCAGAUCAUUGCAGAGGCCAACAGCUAAGUGAGCCUAAACUGAGGACUCAUUGCUGUGGCCAACAGCUCUGAGGAUCCCAACUUGGAUUACAGCCAGUCUCUGUCUCACUCUGAAUAUGCAAUACCAGGGCUCAACAAUGUGAUGUUCAAAUUUAUCUGAUUUAAUCUUGGAUUCAUUAUUGGUGGCCAUCAUUUGUUUAGCACAUUCCACUGGUUUAAUGCUGUGUUAGGAUGUUACCAACACAUAGAGUAAAAGAAUAUAUUUAUGUUUCAUAAUAUCUACUAACUUUAAAAAAAAAAAAUUUGCUUGAAAAUGUUUUGCAUUUACUACUGCUUGACCAUGCUUAAACUAAUUAGAAACAAAUAAUAUAUGUUUACUAGUUUUAUAUAUUUAUUAUGUACUACAGAUAAAGUUAUUGGAUGAUGACUUUGAACUUGUGAUCUCAUUCUAUUGAAACAGUUUUUCAGUUGUGAUUUUUUGUGAAUGGUAUGUGUAAACUUUGUUAUAUUAAAUCAGAGAGAACAAAAAAAAAUAUUUUUAUACGAGUAAUUGAAACAUAAACUUAAAAAAAAAAGGAAAAUUUAGAUCCUUUUUGGUUUUGUUAAAUAAUCUUUGGUUCUUUUAAUAUUUUGUAUUUGGUUCUUUUCCGAAGUUAAAUUGUACCUUGUAUUUUUUUUUUUGGGGUUAUCUUUUUUUCUCCUAGGUUAUUAGUGGCCAUAAUAUAUUUAAAUAGUGUCAAUAGGCUGUUAUUUUUGUCAAAGCAAAAAAAAAAGAUACUUCAGAUAUGUGGCAUUUAUAAAACUAUUUUAAAAAAUACUUGGCCACUUCAUUAAAACUUCUAAGUAUUUUAUAAAAAUGUAUUUCAAAACAUUAUGUACUGCUUAAUUGCAAUUUGGUUUGCACAAUUUUUUUUUUCCUUUAUGUGAGGGAUUAAGGGCAAAUCUAGUUUUGAAACCAGUAGGGUACUAGUUUCUCAUAUCAAAUGUUUUGAGGUAUAGAUGAUGCUUUUUUGUAUGAAUGCUGUGUUUUGGUGAUGGCACUCUCAUUAAUGGAAAUGUAACAAAAUGUCUAUUUUAACCAAUAGUAAAUUAUCACAUCAUCUAUUGUGCAGAUGUUGUUAGCCAAAUGUAUCUGAUCAGGUUAGGACUUUCUGUUGCUAUACACAAACCCAACUCUUUGUGCAAUACUGAAUAGAAUCCUGGUUUUCAAAUUUAUAUAUAUAUAUUUUAUUCACAUAGUCAUAUAAAUCUUGAAUAUAUAUGUAUAUAUAAAUAUAAUAUAUAUCUUAAUUAUCAUUUCAGGUUGGAUUGUCAUGCAUAUUUUGACUUUAUCUAGUCUAACAUAUCAUUUUGUUUUUAAAAGUAAAAUUGAUUGAUUCUAAUCCUAUCAAACAUAGAUCCUAUUGAACUGUAGACUAACUCUUUAAAUCGAAGACAGAAUUUUGGGGAUAACAUUUGUUUUGUGUGCCUCCAGUGAGUUAUUUUGCUUCCAUGUAUGUAUUGUUUCACAUUAGACAAAUAGUCUCAGAACAAAACACUUCUCUACAAACUCUAGUUAUAAUGUUAUUAUUUUCUAAAGUGCUCACUCUACUAUCAGGGAUUGUUGUAUACGAAGUUUAGAUCCAUACAUGGAUUAUAGUUAUUUUUUUUAAAGAUUAAUCAUUUAAUUUGAGGCAAAGUAUGGUGAUCUUUCUAUAGAUACAUUAUAUAAUUUUCUGAUGAAAAAAAAAUUCAUUACUGGCUAUUUUUAUGUUUUAAAGAUAUUCAAAAUAAUAUAGAAGAAUAGAUGGUGUUUAUGAAAUAUCUUAACCCAGUGGUUCUCAAACUUUUGUGACCUUGGGACCCCUUUAUAUUGUUUAAAAGUUGCUCACAGACCCCUUAGUGGAAACAUUACAAAUAAAAGAACAUAUGUUGAAGGAUUGUUAAUUGAGAUUAUAAUUGUAUUCAAUUUUCAUCUUUCUGCGGAACCCCUACUGCUAUCUCCAUGGAUCUGUGUCCCACAGUUUGAGAACCACUGUCUUAAACAAUGAGCACAGAAAUGAACAUACAAUUAGAACUGACUUAAACCUAGAAAUUGAAUAAAUGUACUGUCAAACAAAAGCUAAAAAAUUGUAAAGAUUCCUACAUUUUAGACUUACAGGACAUUAUAAGGUUUGAGCAUAUUAGUGAUUUUCUUAAAUAUAAAGGUCACAUAAAUGAACAAUAUUUGUAAAACAAUGAUUAUAAAUGUGUUAUAUUUAUUAACUCUUGGUUGAAAAACAAUUGCAAUUUUCAAUGUGACCUGCACAAUUGUAUGUUUCUGUGUUCAGGUGUACAUUUUUUAAACAAUAUUUUUGUUAAAUUUAGUUAAAGGUCAAUGUUAGCCAAAUCUUAUGUUUUGAAAACUUUAUCAAACUCAUAAUAGAGCUGGAUCUAUUCAGUUUAUAAAGACCAAAUAAAAUCAAAUGAAACAGUUGAAUGUUAAAUUGCAUUGUGAUUACAUUGUUAGUGACCCCCACAGUUUGUAAGGGAUGUAACAGUUGAUAUAUUUAAAGGCCUGCAUAAUAUCAAUAAAUGCAAGGUUUUGAAAACUGCCUGCUGUUUUUUUUUAAUUAAGUUUUCUUAAAAGCAUUAAAUUUGUAUUUUGUACAAAAGUAGUGGUUUAGUUGUUCAAUAUGCCAUGCUCUGAUUUGUCCUGAUGAUAAGCCAAUCUGUAUGGAAAGAAUAUUAAUUUUGGUAUAACCUUACCAUCUUUAUGGGCCAGUGAAUAUAGGGAGUUCUGUAACUUAAAGAGACCCAGUCUUGGGAUUAUAUUUAUUUGGUUUUAGUAUCUACCCAGGUAACACCCUAAGAAGUAAUUGAACAUUUUGUGUUGUAGAAAUUCUGUUCUUGAAUUGGUGACUUAUACUUUCUCUGAUGGGGGCAUUUCUUAAUAGCAUAAAUUUAGUUCUCUGAUAGCACAAGUGUUAGUUCUAUGAUUUCUUAAUGGUACAAGUGUUAGUUCUAUGAUUUCUUAAUGGCACAAGUGUUAGUUCUCUGAUUUCUUAAUGGCAGUGUUGGUUCUCUGUUUUGAGAUACAUUUAAGACUUGCCCCUCACUUUAUAAAUGUUUCUAGCUUUUCUUUUCUUAAAGCUGUUCUUAGGGAUAAACCUUUGUCACCUCUAUUAAUCAGUACUAUUAGGGCAGCACAAGCCGAACACAGGCAUGAAUUUAAAAUGAUUUUUUUUUUACUGCAGUUGGCUGUUAAUUUUUUCUGGACUUGAAAUCAUAUUGGAAGUUGUUCAUAAUUCUGCCAAAUUUUGUAAGCCUUACAAGUAGUUGACCCAAGAUUUUAUUGUCAAUAUUGAAGAUUUCUUUGCUGUAGUGUUGAAUAUUUUGACCAAGCUUUGAAUCUUGAUGCAUCAGGAUGUAUCUACUUUCAGUGUGUUGCAUGGUUUUAUUCUAGCUUUAUGUCUUUUUUUUGUUUUUUUUUUCUGUUUAAAUUUUUUUAACAGCUUAUGAGGAACACUUUACCAUUUUAUAAAGACAUGAUCAAAGUUGAAAAUUUAUUUUAUCUAGAUAUAUUUAUUUUAUCUAGAUAUAGUUAAAUUCUCUGGUUUCUACAAAUGUAUAUUUUGUAUGUCUAUUGACCUCUAACUUCUAUAUACAUAAAAUUGUGUUCACAUUUUAUUUUUGUUUGGAGAAAAACUUGAGUUCUAUUUCUUCAUUUUAUGAAUAAUUACGUGAGUACAAAGGCACAUACCAGUACAUGUCAUUUUUGUUGUUCUGUGUUUAAAGUGAAUGGUGCUGUCCAGUGUAGGAAGUUUGUUCUAUUUUUGUCUGUUAAAAAAGAAACUCCAAAGUUUCUUUUUAAAUGAUCCCUUUUUUUGUUAAAAUUGUUUAGUUCACUUUUAUUUAAAGUUUUUUGUUUAGCAAACAAUACAUGGAAAAACAAGGGUUAAUAGCCACCUGCUUUAAAAUGUUGUCAUUCUAAUGAAGAAGGUCCAUGGCACACCACUGUCAUUUCUGUAUAGAAAUAAAUAAAUAUAUUUAUAAAGUGAAACAAAUUGAAUUAAACUUGUAGAAUUGAUGCACUCCACAUAGGCAAGUAACAGUAUAUAUUUGUUUUCUUUUCAAAGAGAUGUCGGUGAAAAGAAAUAAUUAGUACUAAGAUUGUGAUUUUGUUGACAGGUAAGGAAAUGAGAAUGCAAUGUAUAUGUUGAUCAGCAGUUCAUCUCUAGCCUUAUGUUCUAUAGAGAUGUUUUACGUAUCACUUAAAUGUGCAGAACACUAGAUUGGUUUCAUUCAUAUUUUGAAGAUUUUUAUGAAAUCAUUUUUCUUUGUUCUUAUUCUAUAAAUGUGCCAUUGGAUGAACUUAUUUUGUAUGCCAUGUACUUGUAUCAAGAACCUCUUCAUGUCUGCCAAGUCUGUUAGAAAUAAAAACUCAUACCAUGUAUUGCCUACAUUCACCAGACCUAAUCCAGAGUUUCAAAGAUGAUUGACUCUUUGAUACUAAUAACCGAUUUUUAGUCACAUUUGUACUUUUUUUUUUUCAUCUUAUGAACAUUAUCACUGUUAAUGCCUUACAUAGAGCAGUGUCAAAUGAAACAAACAAAAAAAUCCACUUUCUAAGUUCUCUUGUCCAUUCUUUGAUAGAACUAAAUGGACUGUUGCUAAAAACCAUUGUUAAAAGAAUUAGUUGAAUAGUUGAAACAUGAACUUGUACAAUUGAAUCAAUUGUUAUUCUACUAAGUUCAGGGAAUAUAAUUUUAACUUGUUUCAGCAUUUUAAUGUUACUCAAGAUUUUUUUUUUGUCCAGAAUUUUAAUGAAAUAUGCAAUCAUUGUUAACAUAAUUAAUGAUGUCCCCUAAAAAAUGAUUUAUCUUUUCCUUUUAUCUUUUCAUGAUUUAUCUUUUCCUUUUAUCUUUUCAUAGAGGUAGCUCUAGAGUUUGUUGUAAAUGAAAAACAAAUAAGGCUAAUGAACAAGACAUUUUUUUGGUGCUUCACUUUAUGAAUGGAUGUCAACAUCGUCCUGAAAAUGCAUAAAAUAAAACUAUUUCUGUUCUAAGCAUUAAGUAGAUUAAGUAGUUAUAUCUUGACAUCCACAUUUUAGGUCAAAAUUUUGUCUGUGUUCACAUGGAAAAGUCCUAUGCUUUUUUUUUUUUUUUUUUUGUAAAAUAUCAUGAAUAUAUUAAUGUUGCAAAUUUCCGAUUACAAUUGAAAUGACCAUUAAAAACAGUAUUUCUGUUAAGUUCACCACUCUUCUGUCCUAUUCAUAAUGUUUAUUGGACUAUCAAUGAUCGUGUAACAUGAUCAGUAGAUGUAUGACAAAGUAUUGUCUUCUAUUCUUUCAAUGAGGUCAAAUUGUUUCUAGUUGUUGCAUUUUGAAAUUGUUUGCUUGUCUUUAUACUUCAUAAUGAAGUUAUGUUUGUUGUUGCAUUCAUCAAAUUUGCAUUUGUUGGCUAAUCAGUUCACAAUCUUUGUUGUUGUUUUUAAGUGGGGCACAUCAGCAGCUUUAGGAACAGCACUAGAUGAGGAAUUAAAGGAAACAGGAGAAUAAAGGUUGUUUUUUUUUCAGCUUUUGUUAGAAUUUGAACUACUUACUGUUUUUGUUUCUUUGAUACACAAAACUAUUUCCCAAGAUUUUUGAGUCCCAGACUUUUUUGGUCUUAUUUGUUGUUGUUCCAACUUGAAAUCCUACACACACAAAAAUUGUGUUCUAGUUGCUAAACAUGCAACUUCCAACUUUACUGUUCAUUGGACUUUUCUUAGCUCAACAUCUUCAUUAAAAUUCUUAACUCAG